UCGUCCGUCGCGUUCGCGGGAGUUUUAUAUUUCCUUGAACCAAUGCUCAUAUGAGCCCGGGCUGGGAACAUUGCUAGGCGGGCGUGAGCGUCUCGCGUCAGACGAACCCGAAGCCUUGCUGACCUGGCCCACCUGAACCCCCGCGUUCAGGAAUGCGGCUCCCGGCUCGCGGCGGACACC
rnacentral:other from 1 species